UUUUGGGUAGUUGGUACCGAGACGAUUUCGUAGACAUGCGGUAGGCUUGAAUCGGGGUUGUAACGAGAAAGUUACGGGCAAAAUAGUGUCAGUGGCAAACUUGUAAAUAUUUCGAAAAGGGUUAGGGUAAAAAUCAGAUUUUUCCAGUUUUACCUCACUUUCUCUCUCUUCCUCCCGAUUCUCUCUCUCUCUCCCGCGUCCCUCUUCCUCCUUCUCCGAUUUGCAGACGCGGAGCCGCCGCCACAGACCACGGCCAGCCCCGAGACCGGACCCAAAACGACCGGCCAGACCUCGCCGACGUCCCCCGAUCCAUCUCCAGCCGUCAGCCGCCGCCUCGUGGCCGGAAAAUACAGAUUUCAGGCCGAUCCUUGUCUGAGCUUCCAGUCGAUCGUUCUCUCUCCUCCGAGCACUAUUUCAGACGGGUGAGGUAUCUCGACUGCACGCACGCAGCAAGCAGGACCUUCACGUGGUCAGGCAGCGAGGGAAUACUUCCAGUAGUUGCUCCUGGAAGUACAAGUGGUGUCUGCAGCGGAGUCAGUGCAUCUUUAUAAUUAAGAACUGUGUAAAUUCUUAUACUCAACUGUUCUUGUAAUCUAAAUUCAGUAGAUGCUCUGUAUGCCACGGUAGAUUUUUACUUGUGAGGCCGGAGGCCACUCUAGUAUGACUUGUGUGUGUUUGAAAGCAUGCUGCUGGUUGGGAUUAGUAGUACUGUGUGUUGCAGGUUGAAUGAAUUUUGUUGGGAUUGCUUAAAUUGCAGGGGAGACUCUGCCAAAAUUUUGGUAGAAAGUCUCGGUUAUUAAGUAGGUGGGCCCGGCAUCGGGA